GGGAACUUCUUGGCUGCCAUUUCUGGAUGUCAAGGCUGCAGAUACACUGGUCAGGACCCUGGGUAGAGAGAGAUGCGUCAGAAUGCGGCUCCUUUCAGAAAGGCUUCUCCGGAGAAAAACCCUUUGAAAAGAUUCAGCACGUUGCCAUGGAGAACAUCCCACUGAAGGAAUGUAUAGAAGUAGCAGGGUUAACUGAGUGCCUUCCAUCUUCCCUCCAAGGGAUCUGCAAUGAGAUGGGAGAAGGCAACAGGCUGUGUGGGAACCACUGAAGCUGGGAUGGCAGGGAAAGAACAUCUUAGGCUAACUCUUCAAGCCUUGCUGUCACAUUUGCUUUUGAGUCUAUGGUGUCAGCUGCCUACCAGUUGCUUUCAUCUCUAGAAAUCUGUGACUUGCAGUAUGACAAGAACAAAAGGUGACAAUACAAAGGACAAAGGGCAAGGAAUACAGACGGAGAAGCCGCUUAGAGUCUAGGAUGGCAGAGGUUCUCUUGAUCAUUUCAUUUUUGAGCGCUUGUAGAGCUUUGGUGUACCAGAGGUGCUUGAACAGCUUACCACACCACAGAUGAAUGGCCUUUGGAUUUCUCCUAAGAAAAUGGGUUGAACCGAACUGGCGAUGCACUGUCUGGAUUGGAUGCAUGUAUGGUCUUACAUGACCCCCAUGAAAGGUUCAUUCAACCCCCCAAAGGGGUUGUGACCCACAGAUUGAGAACCGCUGGUACAGAAGAUCUUCACAUCACCUGAGAGCUUGCCUUGGAAGAAAUUGCAAAAGUUUUGUCUUUCUCAAAGGCUUCUUGCUUGGAAGUUCUUUUUUCACACAGGUAUCCACCAUGCAGUGGCACGUAUAAGAAGACCAUCACCAGACCUAGUGAGGCCAAUGUCACAGCCUUGAGAAAUAUCCAGAACGAUGAGUGAAGCCAACCUUGUUUUACUUUUCCCAUGAUGCUAGCUUGUCUCAGGUUCACUGCAGCAAUAUCUCAAGAAGCUUACGAUGCGCACACACGAGUCAGUACACGUACCAAUGGCGUUUAUUAAAUCCCUCUGCUAAGCAU
rnacentral:lncRNA from 1 species